rnacentral:rRNA from 1 species
GACGAACGCUGGCGGCGUGCUUAACACAUGCAAGUCGAACGAAGUGGCGAACGGGUGAGUAACGCGUAAUCAACCUGCCCAUCAGAGGGGGACAACAGUUGGAAACGACUGCUAAUACCGCAUACAGAAGGAGGGGAUGGAGUCUGAUUAGCUAGUUGAAGGGGAAACGGCCCACCAAGGCGAUGAUCAGUAGCCUGUCUGAGAGGAUGACUGGCCACAUUGGGACUGAUACACGCCCCAGACUCCUACGGGUGGCAGCAGUGGGGAAUCUUCCGCAAUGGACGAAAGUCUUACGGAGCCACGCCGCGUGAGUUAUGACGUCCUUCGGGUUGUAAAGCUUGGUUAAUCGGGACGCGUUACCGGAAUAGAAAGCCACGGCUAACUACGUGCCAGCCGCCGCGGUAAUUC